GUCUUCGUGGCUCAGUCGGUUAGAGCGUUGGUCUCAUAUUUCCAUAUGAUUAAGCAGUAACACCGCUUGGCCAUCCAAAGGUCGCGAGUUCGAAUCUCGCCGAGGACA